rnacentral:rRNA from 1 species
CACGCCGUAAACGAUGAACACUAGGUGUUGGUUUGCCGUAGGCUGAUCAGUGCCGCAGUUAACGCAUUAAGUGUUCCGCCUGGGGAGUACGAUCGCAAGGUUGAAACUCAAAGGAAUUGACGGGGGCCCGCACAAGCGGUGGAGCAUGUGGUUUAAUUCGAUGCAACGCGCAGAACCUUACCGGGGUUUGACAUUAUAGUGAAGUUUGCAGAGAUGUAAAUGUUCUUCGGAACGCUAUGACAGGUGCUGCAUGGCUGUCGUCAGCUCGUGUCGUGAGAUGUUGGGUUAAGUCCCGCAACGAGCGCAACCCUUGCCCCUAGUUGCCAGCGAGUAAUGUCGGGGACUCUAGGGGGACAGUCGGCGAUAAGCCG